UGGGGAAUUUUGGACAAUGGGGGCAACCCUGAUCCAGCCAUGCCGCGUGAGUGAAGAAGGCCUUCGGGUUGUAAAGCUCUUUCGGCGGGGACGAAACGGUCCGUGACAACACCACGGACUAAUGACAGUACUCGCAGAAGAAGCACCGGCUAACUACGUGCCAGCAGCCGCGGUAAUACGUAGGGUGCAGGCGUUAAUCGGAAUUACUGGGCGUAAAGCGUGCGCAGGCGGCUCCUUAAGUCAGAUGUGAAAUCCCCGGGCUUAACCUGGGAACUGCGUUUGAAACUGAGGGGCUAGAGUGUGGAAGAGGGGGGUGGAAUUCCAGGUGUAGCAGUGAAAUGCGUAGAGAUCUGGAGGAACACCGAUGGCGAAGGCAGCCCCCUGGGCUAACACUGACGCUCAUGCACGAAAGCGUGGGGAGCAAACAGGAUUAGAUACCCUGGUAGUCCCUGAGCGGGCUGGCAAGGCGCAU
rnacentral:rRNA from 1 species